CUGUUUCCGCACUUCCGACUAACUGAGGGUUUUGCCCUCUCCCUCCCCCACACCGCCAAACCCCCGGCAAAUGGCGGCGCUCCGCCUCCUACCGCUCCUCCGCCGCCGCCGCGCCAUCCCCAACCUCCUCCACCGCCGCCGCCCCUUCUCCACCUCCACCUCCUCUCCUCCACCCCCUUCCCCAGCAAACCCCGGCUCCUCCUCCCCGAAACCCCCCUCCCUCUCCGCCCGCCUCUCCUUCGUCUUCGACCAGCUCGACGCGCUCGACCGCUCCCGCUCUUCCGACCUCUCCGCCCGCGACGCCGCCCUGCGCCGUAUCCAGUCCUGGCGCCGCCCGCCCCCGCCGCCACCCGACGCGCCUCCUUCUCCGCCUCCGCCGGAGCCGCGCGAGCAAGUCGAGCUCGAGGCCGCCGUGGCGACGGCCGGCGAGCAGCGGGAGGCGGUGGCGGAGGUGGACCGGAUGAGCGUCGCGGAGGUGCUGCGGAGGGAGGUGGAGCUGGUGCACCCCUGGCCCGAGUGGAUCGAGCUCAUGGAGCGCCUCGCGCAGCAGAGGUACUUCGACCUCGGCCCCGCCCACGAGGAGGCCCGCCUCGCCGCGGCCGUGCCCAUGGACCUCUCGGAGGUCUCCCAGGAGUCCGGCUUCGAUUUCUCCAGGGACUGGACCACCGUCAAGAACGCCUGCAUGAACUUCGGCCGCGAUCGAUUCGACAUCCUCAAGCCGUUACCUAGGAAGGAUCUUCAAGUAUUAGUUGGCCAUGGGUGUCCCAGCAUGGAUCCAAAAGUUGUGUUUUCUGCAAAGCUGAUAAGAAAAUUGGUUCACCUUGACGAGGGUGAUGUAUGCAGUUCUUGUAAUUUGCGGAAUUCAUGCUCAAGGGGCUAUAUCCUUACACGUAAAGAAGAUGAAGCUCGGACUCUUGAUGUUAUGCGUAUCUUGUUGGUCUAUGGUUUUGACCAUGUAAAGGGAACUGUAGAGAACAAACCACUUCUCAAACUGAAAUCCGUGAAGACUGUUGUUCGGAAAUUAAUACAUGAGAUUGCCAAGCUGAGUGCUGUUCCUAUUGACCCCAAUCUUCCACCACCUGUAAUCAGGAAGUUGCCACCUAAGGUGAAGCAACCACCUCCACCACCAAAGAAACGAGUUGGACGUGAUGACGUAGAGAUGAAGAAAGGAGACUGGCUUUGCCCAAAGUGUGACUUCAUGAACUUCGCGAAAAAUACUAUCUGCUUGCAGUGUGAUGCUAAGCGUCCCAAAAGACAACUCCUCCCUGGAGAGUGGGAGUGUCCUCGGUGCGACUUUUUGAACUACAGACGGAACAUGUCAUGUUUCCAUUGUGAACACGACCGCCCUCCAGAUGAAUACACCAACAACCAAACAGAAGCAUAUCAAUCUGCGCCGCGGAAACGAUCGGACAGACCAGCUCGUAAGCCUGAGGUUUCUAGUGCCUGGAACUUUGACUUUGAAGAUAAUGAAUCAGAUGGUGCUGAUGUUGCAGCAUUUGAGUUUGCUGAUUCAUCUAAAGGUAGGGAGAGUUCAUCUGUGGACACCUCAUAUAGAGAUAAUGCCAAUGGUUUUGAGUCUGAGAAAUUUGGAAUGGAUGAAACAAGGAGCAAGGGACGAGAAAGAAAGUUCACCGAAAGAGAUAGCUUGAACUCAUCUAGAGUUGGUUUUGAUGAUUUUGACGAUGAAGAGGAUGAUAUUGACAGUUAUGAGCUUGAUUUGUCAAAAGGUGGUCAGACAGGUGGUCUGUCAAGGGUGAGUUAUUCUGACCUUGAUGAUGCUUCUGAUUCAGAAGACUACGGUGAAUCUUCUCACAGUAGAAAUUCCAAUUACGGGGAAAAAGAUGACUUAACAGGUUCAGCCGAUGAUGAUGAAUUUGUUGGCCAACCCUCCCUAAAAUCUAGUCAUAUUGCUGAUUCUUGGCAGAAAACCCGAGGUUGGAGUGGUUCGAAUAACCGCAGAAGCGCAUCUUUUGGAUCAGAGAGUAAUGAUGGGGCUAUUUCUGAUUCUGAUGAGGAUAUUGACAAUGGCUUUAGAUAUAAACAAGGGCGUAACCAGGGAAGUCGUGAAAGAGUUCCUGAUAUGGACUCUGACAUGGAUGACCAGUUUCAAUCAGAUAAUAGGAACAGGUCCUCGGCAAAUUUCAGAGAUAACUUCCCUGCCAGAAGCUCUAACUUGAACAGUAGAAGCUCUAAUGGGGACCGUUAUGGCAGGACCAAAGGCAAUGAACAACACUUCAGGAGGGCUGAUUUCCAUGAGGGUGGCUCGGCAAAUUUCAGAGGUAACUUCCCUGCCAGAAGCUCUAACUUGAACGCUAGAAGCUCUACUGGCGACCGUUAUGGCAGGACAAAAGGCAAUGAACAACAAUUCAGGAGGGCUGAUGUGCAUGAUGGUGGCUCGGCCUUUGAUAAGAAUCACAGAGGAAGGGCUAAUCAUCAAGAUCAUGGCUCAAGAGGUUCACAAAGAAAUGCUGGAAGAAACUGGGAUAAAAGGAGUGAGUUUGAUGGCAGUGACAGAUCCCCGAGGCAUUCUAAUAGAAGGUAAAAAUAUAGCAAUGCGAGUGGCAGCAUAAGCAUUGAAAGUGUGGACGUCAGCCCAAAAUUCUUGGAUACAGAACUGAAUUGAUGGCACUAGAUCCUGAGACGUUGCCGGUAAUGGGGUGUUUUAGGAAGUGUUCAUAUUUCUAAGAAUUUUUUCAAGGCUCCAAGGUAGCCAACAGAUGGAGUGUUACAUCAUGGAAUUUGAUAUUGACACCAUCCUCUGCACCGAUUCCACCCUGAUGUGCCACCACACCGACCUGGAGGCCUGCUGGACUGGACCUACAGGUUCCCAGGUUCGUCUCUUUCUAUCUCUCGUGUGCGGUGGCUCACGGGUUAAGAGACCGGAAUGGAUGAAGCCAGCAGUGCUGCUCCCCGCUAAAGAGGUCUUCCACGGCAGCGUCCAAGCCCAUAUUUUGCUUAAUGUUUGUAAUCCAAUGGAAGACAGUCAUUUGGGUGCUGGGGGUGGAGAGAUGGCGGCUUGAGAUAUGAAUGAGCUCAAGGUUUUACUACCUCAAGAGCUUACAGGUGUUGAAGACACAAGUCACCAAUAGCGGCACACUGUGCUAUUGCUGCUGUUAGAAGUAGGAUAGCUUUGAUAUUAAGAUCACUAGGCAGUUAUUAAGAUUAGCUUAGGUCCUAAGCUAAGUAGGCAGUUAGUUUUAUCCAAACGCUGUAAUACCGAAGAGGUGCCUUUGUAACCGCCUUAUUGGCGUCUGUUCGGUGAGUAUAUAUACCCCCAACAAUCAUCAAUGAAACAUCACUUGAUUCUCUCAAUCAUUAGUUCCUAAAACGUUAUCACGCACUUUGCUCUCCAAAGAGCGGCAGGCCAAGAAAAGUACUGGUUGUCGGCGAAACGGGCGUUGCAGGCACAAACUCCCUCGCGUCCCGCGGCGGAGGCCGCAGCAGGGAGGCGCCCGAGGUCGCGGCUCCUGCAACGCCGUGGCUAGCACUCCUCGGCGCGCAACUCCGGCAAAACGGCCAGCGCGCACGCGACGGUGGCGGUUACUUUCGCGCGGCGAAGGGGACGACGGCCAACAGCCGGCUCUCCGUGUGACAACGGCCCUCGACCGACUCCUCGCGGUGGACGCAGAGACGGCGUCGAACGGACAGCGCACCACACGGUUGCGCCACCGGUGCGGGCGCACCCGGCAGCCUUCGGCUCGGCCCUCACCGGCGUGGCGGAGCGCGCGGCCCCGCCUCUCGUCCUGACUCCUACCGGCACGGAGGCAACUCCAAUUGAUGCCCACAGCCAGCCUGCGGCUCGGCGGCGGAGCUACAGACCCUGACGAGCGGUGCGACCACCGCAGCCGCGGCCGGGCCACGACAGGAGGCACGGCGGCGCCCGAGCCCACGGCUCCCAGCAGCGCUGCGCCUCUUCGGGAGCCGGCUCAACCGGCGGCGUCCUCCGGCGUACACGAACCUACAACGAUCAUGGACUCUGUAUGAAGCUAUCAGCAAAAGAAUCGAUUGAUUCAUGCACACAGCAAUGGAGGAAAACGACGGGAACCUUAUCCCUUCGGUUAUUUUUUUUAAUUUGACACUCUAGCUUCAUAGCAUUUACGUAUUAGUUCAUGCUUUCUCUGUUUGACUCUCAGGCUGAAACGUACUAUGCAAAUUAGUCGUUAAAUUUCUGCCUAUAAUACAUAUAAGUUCUCAGACUUAUGAGACUUUACAA